rnacentral:piRNA from 1 species
GCAGAAAAACCAGCUUUGAACUCUG